CGCCGCGCAAAAUUUCGCCAAAUCCCUUCCGCCCAAAUCCCCUACCGCGCGCCGUCCCUACUCCCUGCGCCUUCUCAUUUGUGCCGCGCCGCGCCUCCUCUCCUUCCCUCCGCCUCAUUCUGCGCCGCCGCAUCCAGCCACCACCCCUUCUCCCCUCAGUUUGAGCCACCGCAUCCACCCACCAUCCCUUCUCAAUCCGUCCCCAGCAGCACGCCUUCGUGUCGACGGCCACCGCAUCUGGAGUGUGCGGCUUGUCCCCCCGCUGAUGUCAUCCCGGUGGGGCACCUGCUGACGGCGACGCUUCGCUCCGCCUUCCGCUGUGGGCUGACGACGCUCCUCCCGUGAUCCGCUGCUUGUCCCCAUCCACUGCAGCGUCCUCGACUGCUCUGACUGCAGUUGUCUUCCCUUUCUUUACCAGACUUUAUGCCCUUUCGUUACCUGCGCCAUGUGUGGUGUUCAGUAUUUCAAAGCUAAAGCUCAUUUUGUAUGCCUGAAUAAAAAAAAGGUGGCUCAGACUUAUUGUAUGCUGAAGAAGGAUGUGUGUCCUCCAUCUCAUAUCGUGUCCCAUGUGAUUUUGUCUUUAGUAGUGUUUUCUACAUGUAUAUAAUUUUUUCUUAAGA